rnacentral:sRNA from 1 species
UGAUUCUGCCAUCGGUGUUUUAUUUUAAAGAGUUUUUUGUUUCCUCGGAGAGAGGAAGUUUGCUAUCCUUGAGCAAUAUUGUUUCAGAGUGAACAUCGUGAAUUACCGAAAGGAUGGCAAUAAAUUCAUUGAUUAAUGAAUCUAUUUCAUGCCUAACCAGGUUUUUGUUUAUUGUAGGAAUAAUUCGUUGUGAGGCAGAUUCUACUUCUUGCCGGAAAGACAUCUAUUUUGUAUUCUUGUAUGAUAUAAAAUGAUCCGAAAAUGUUGGAAGGCCUUCAAUUUUAUAAUUCGUGUUAAUGACAUCUAAAAGGUUUGGGCGGAUCAUAAAAUGGUCAAAAUAAGAGGAGCCAUUGGGGUAUGAGGGAAAGACAUCGCAAAUACGUACAACGUCUAAAGCGUUAUCCAAUCACCAGUCCUUUAAAAUUCUCCCAUUAGAGUUUUCAGAGUUAUCAGCCCAAAAAGGACUUCUUGAAUUAAGAUCACAGCUAAGGAUGAAACCGUCGUAGUUUCCAACAAUGUCAAGGAUUUUCUGCAGAUCUGCAUUAAGUUUCCGAGAGGCAUAAUUACAUAGAAUGUAAAUUGAUCCUAUUAAAAUUUUCUUUUUGGUGUUAUUUAAGAUUAUUUCGAUUUGAGCAAAAGACGAGUUAAAUCCUAAAUCGGUGGCAAAAAUUCUGUUGUAAUAAUAUUUUGUUUAAUUGCAAUAGCAACGCUUACUGAAGAA